GCGCGUUGUGAUUGGCUGAAAGGCUUCUUUCGGGGGGAAGUUCUUGAGUUGUUUGUCAAUACUGAAUAAUGAAUAUCCAAUUACUAACACAAGAUGGCAGCAGCAAUGGAAGGGUUCGAAGAAAAAUUAGCAGAAGUCCGAAAAUAUGGUCAUCUUUACGAUUCUUCGAGACGAGAUUAUAAAGAUACUCAGAAAACCAAUAAUUCUUGGAAUGAAAUAGCGAGAAACCUUAACACAAAUGAACAAAUUUGUCGACAGAAAUGGAAAAAUUUGAGAAAUCGUUACACCAAAGCCAAGAAACGAAUGAAGUCUAGAAGUGGAGAUGCUGGUGGCAAAUCUAUCCCACCGAUAUUCCUCAGUCUGUCUUGUCUGAUCAUAUAAAGCAUAGGGACACAGAAACUAAUUUUCGGGAGGAGAACACUGAAGAACCUAUAACAACAUCAGAAUCCCUUCCACUAGGAGAAAUUUUGUGACGAUAAAUAUGGAGGAGUUUGACCUAACCGCAUGGUCUCCCUCAACAAGUAGAAGCGAUUCAAAUGUCAGUGAAAAUUCGUGUACAACACCUACAUUACCUACCAAACCUACCACACCAGUAAGUAGUGACCCAUCUGCCCCUUCCACAAUUGCUUGAGUAGAGCUGUGGUAAACCCGACCAAGGGCUAUAGAAAGAGAUCUGCACAUUUAGAGACAUUAGUUUGUGAAAGACUUGAUUCUUUGAAAA